rnacentral:rRNA from 1 species
ACGCUCGACACCUACGGGAGGGCAGCAGUGGGGAAUAUUGCACAAUGGGGGAAACCCUGAUGCAGCAACGCCGCGUGAAGGAAGACGGUUUUCGGAUUGUAAACUUCUGUUCUUAGUGAAGAUAGUGACGGUAGCUAAGGAGCAAGCCACGGCUAACUACGUGCCAGCAGCCGCGGUAAUCUGAGCGGGCUGGCAAGGC